rnacentral:rRNA from 1 species
GAUGAACGCUGGCGGCGUGCCUAAUACAUGCAAGUCGAGCGAACAGAUGAGGAGCUUGCUCCUCUGACGUUAGCGGCGGACGGGUGAGUAACACGUGGAUAACCUACCUAUAAGACUGGGAUAACUUCGGGAAACCGGAGCUAAUACCGGAUAAUAUAUUGAACCGCAUGGUUCAAUAGUGAAAGACGGUUUUGCUGUCACUUAUAGAUGGAUCCGCGCCGCAUUAGCUAGUUGGUAAGGUAACGGCUUACCAAGGCGACGAUGCGUAGCCGACCUGAGAGGGUGAACCGCCCCCCCGGAACUGAGACACGGUCCAGACUCCUACGGGAGGCAGCAGUAGGGAAUCUUCCGCAAUGGGCGAAAGCCUGACGGAGCAACGCCGCGUGAGUGAUGAAGGUCUUCGGAUCGUAAAACUCUGUUAUUAGGGAAGAACAAAUGUGUAAGUAACUAUGCACGUCUUGACGGUACCUAAUCAGAAAGCCACGGCUAACUACGUG